GAUGAACGCUGGCGGCGUGCUUAACACAUGCAAGUCGAACGAGAAGUGAAGACGGGCCCCUUCGGGCGGAAGGCUUUAUUUCGAGUGGCGGACGGGUGAGUAACGCGUGGGUAACCUGCCUCAUACAGGGGGAUAACAGUUGGAAACGACUGUUAAUACCGCAUAAGACCACAGCACCGCAUGGUGCGGGGGUAAAAACUCCGGUGGUAUGAGAUGGACCCGCGUUCGAUUAGCCAGUUGGCGGGGUAACGGCCCACCAAAGCGACGAUCGAUAGCCGAUCUGAGAGGAUGACCGGCCACAUUGGGACUGAGACACGGCCCAAACUCCUACGGGAGGCAGCAGUGGGGAAUAUUGCACAAUGGGGGAAACCCUGAUGCAGCGACGCCGCGUGAGUGAAGAAGUAUUUCGGUAUGUAAAGCUCUAUCAGCAGGGAAGAAAAUGACGGUACCUGAGUAAGAAGCCCCGGCUAACUACGUG
rnacentral:rRNA from 1 species